CAUCCAUAAUGUAACAAAAAUCUGGAGUAUUGGCCGCCAUGCGAAGACUAUGUCCAUGACUGGAGUGGAGUACGCAAGGCAACAUUCCAAGUUUGGGGUGAAACAGAUAGAUAGCUAAGCUGAUGUAAUUGUAAUUGUAAUUGUAAUUGAGGACCUCCUUAAUAUAUUUCUGUAUUUAUCCAAUGCCCACAAUGGCCAACCAAAUUCAAUCACCGUUUCUGCUGCAUCUCUCCGAUAACACUAAUUCUUUCAACAUACUCUUACCGCGAGAACCAAACUUUCCAAUUCUCAUAUUAUUCUUAUUAUUUCAAUCUUGACUUCAACUAGUUUGGAUUUAUAUAACAACCUGGCAGAUUCCUGGGUGUGUGUGUGAUCGUUUCUAGCAAAUUGUAUGACGGCGGAAGAGUGAAGAAAUGGCAUCAGCAAAGCUGAGUCAAACGACGUCGUUAGCAACCUGCUGCUUAUGCUUAGCUUGUUUGUUUCUGUUGCCAAUUCUGAAAAAACUCAUCCGGCUGUUGUUUCUGUUUCUUGUUGUUCCAAAUAUUAUGUUUUUUUUGUAGAAUUGCAACAAUCUGCAAUUUAUCUGACAUUAUAAAAAUCUCUUGGUGGUGUGAAAAAACGAAUCUCCGGGCUUACAGCUAUGGGCUAUUUCACGCUUCUUCUGAUUACAGCUUUCUAAGUUAAUAAUGUGGUUAUUGGGAAAUGAACGAAACCAAGCUUAACUGAUAUCUGCCUUGUGUUUAAGUUAGCAAACUAGAACUAGAACUAGAACUAGAACUAGAAGCAGCAUGAAAGCUUCAGCGUUUUUUGUUUUAAUUUGUUCCUUUCCUUUCCUUUCUUUUUAAUUAGUCAGAUUUUAGAAUAUUCUUCUCUAGUGACUUGAGUGCAUUGCAAUCCAUCGAGUCAAGUCUGAUCGAUCCAUCUUCGCAGAGGGGGUCAUAUCAUAUGCUAUUAUCAUAACACCAGUCUUGAUGACGGCUAAUGUUCAAGAAUUGUAUGAUUUUUUUGAGCAACAAAUGAAUGGUGAUCCUCGUCUGUUUUCGUUUAUUUCUCUCAACAGGAGGCUGUUGCUGGAUAGAAACCUAUCAGGAGAACUUGGUCGUUUGUCUUAUUUGCAGAUAGUGUGAUUCUCCUCCUGUGGUUUAGAGGCAUGGCCUAUUACAGUAAAAGUAUGAUCGCUAUGCAUUCUGUUGUGACGCAUUCCUAGUAAUUGUUUCGAGCAUUUCAACUUUGAAACUUGUGUGAGUACAAAUACCUCUUUGGUCUUCUUUCAGCAUUCUUUUAACAUUAUGCAAUUCUUACUGCUAUCUUGCAGGCUUCUCAGUGGAAAUCGACUAACCGGUUCCUCGCCUCAAGAACUCGGAUAUCUGUCCAAUUUAAACCGAAUGCAGAAUGGAAUAUCCGGACCAAUUCCCCUGUCCUUUGCCAACUUGAGCAGUGCAAAACAUUUGUUGCUGGAUAAUAACAACUUAUCCGGAGUUGUUCCACCGGAACUCUCAGAAAUGCAGUCUCUGCUGAUACUGCAACUUGAUAACAACAACUUCACCGGGAGUAUAUAAUACCCUCUUCUUACAUUGACGU